GACGAACGCUGGCGGCGUGCUUAACACAUGCAAGUCGAACGGAAAGGCCCUGCUUUUGUGGGGUGCUCGAGUGGCGAACGGGUGAGUAACACGUGAGUAACCUGCCCUUGACUUUGGGAUAACUUCAGGAAACUGGGGCUAAUACCGGAUAGGAGCUCCUGCUGCAUGGUGGGGGUUGGAAAGUUUCGGCGGUUGGGGAUGGACUCGCGGCUUAUCAGCUUGUUGGUGGGGUAGUGGCUUACCAAGGCUUUGACGGGUAGCCGGCCUGAGAGGGUGACCGGCCACAUUGGGACUGAGAUACGGCCCAGACUCCUACGGGAGGCAGCAGUGGGGAAUAUUGGACAAUGGGCGAAAGCCUGAUCCAGCAAUGCCGCGUGAGUGAUGAAGGCCUUAGGGUUGUAAAGCUCUUUUACCCGGGAUGAUAAUGACAGUACCGGGAGAAUAAGCUCCGGCUAACUCCGUG
rnacentral:rRNA from 1 species